rnacentral:lncRNA from 1 species
AUUUAAAAGGUGGUUAUGGUUACGUAGAUGCAAUUAUAAAAUAAUUAGUUGCACCAAACAUAUAUCACUAGGUCAUGUUUCUGAUUUAAUAGAAUAUAGAUAACGCAUUUCCUCGCUUCAACUACGAGAUAUGGUGUGGUCCAUGUGUGGUUUCCUGUGAUUCCUUUUAAUUAAUUACUAUUUUUAUUUAGUUUUAGUUUUAAGUUCCUAUUUUUUAAUUAAAUCAUAAAUACAAUUCCAAUCCGUUAUAUAGCUAUACAAAAUAGCCAAAUGAUUAAAAUAUAGUUAAAAUAUUCACUUAUUAUUACGCUAUAUUGUG